GAUGAAGAACGCAGCGAAAUGCGAUAAGUAAUGUGAAUUGCAGAAUCCAGUGAAUCAUCGAAUCUUUGAACGCACAUUGCGCCCGCCAGCAUUCUGGCGGGCAUGCCUGUUCGAGCGUCAUUUCAACCCUCAAGCACAGCUUGGUGUUGGGACUCGCGUUAAUUCGCGUUCCCCAAAUUGAUUGGCGGUCACGUCGAGCUUCCAUAGCGUAGUAGUAAAACCCUCGUUACUGGUAAUCGUCGCGGCCACGCCGUUAAACCCCAACUUCUGAAUGUUGACCUCGGAUCAGGUAGGAAUACCCGCUGAACUUAAGCAUAUCAAUAAGCGGAGGA
rnacentral:misc_RNA from 1 species